GUUUUAAUAAUUUAUUAAAAAAUAUUAGUCUUGUAAACUAAAAAAAAGCUAAGCUUUUAAAACU
rnacentral:tRNA from 1 species